UACGUAGGGGGCUAGCGUUGUCCGGAUUUAUUGGGCGUAAAGAGCGUGUAGGCGGCCAUGUAGGUCCGGUGUGAAAACUCGAGGCUUAACCUCGAGAUGUCAUCGGAAACCAUUUGGCUAGAGUCCGGAAGAGGAGAGUGGAAUUCCUGGUGUAGCGGUGAAAUGCGCAGAUAUCAGGAGGAACACCGGUGGCGAAGGCGGGUCUCUGGGUCGAUACUGACGCUGAGGAGCGAAAGCGUGGGGAGCAAACAGG
rnacentral:rRNA from 1 species